GGUUUCGUGCUCGAAAGAGAACCUGCACACAGGUGCUGCAUGGCUGUCGUCAGCUCGUGUCGUGAGAUGUUCGGUUAAGUCCGGCAACGAGCGCAACCCUCGUCGUAUGUUACAUGUGUCAUACGAGACCGCUGGUAUAAAGCCGGAGGAAGGUGAGGAUGACGUCAAGUCAGCAUGGCCUUUAUAUCUGGGGCUACACACACGCUACAAUGGUCGGUACAAUGGGUCGCAAAGCCGCAAGGUGGAGCCAAUCCUCAAAGCCGGCCUCAGUUCAGAUUGUAGGCUGCAACCCGCCUACAUGAAGUCGGAGUUGCUAGUAAACGCGCGUCAGCAUUAGUGCGUUGAAUACGUUCCCGGGGAUU
rnacentral:rRNA from 1 species